rnacentral:rRNA from 1 species
UACGUAGGGGGCGAGCGUUGUCCGGAUUCAUUGGGCGUAAAGAGCUCGUAGGCGGCUUAGCAAGUCGGGGUGUAAAACCUCCAGGCUUAACCUGGAGAGGCCACCCGAUACUGCUAUGGCUAGAGUCCGGUAGGGGACCACGGAAUUCCUGGUGUAGCGGUGAAAUGCGCAGAUAUCAGGAGGAACACCGGUGGCGAAGGCGGUGGUCUGGGCCGGUACUGACGCUGGAGGAGCGAAAGCGUGGGGAGCGAACAGG